rnacentral:sRNA from 1 species
UAUUUUAAUUCUUAUAGGAGAGAUUGAAAAUUAAAUCUCAAUCUCUCCUAUGAGAGAGGGGAAAGGUAAACAUUCUAGAAAGGUUGGUUUUUGAGAGUAAGUAAGAAAUAUAGCACAAUAACAAAGUGCAGGCUGAGUGGGAAAGAUUCUUAAUCAGAGCUAUUUCUCAGAAUUUAUCUUUAACAUAAAAUUAGAGGCAACCAGAUUUUUGUUGUUAUAACUUUUUUUAUGAUUGAAUCUGUAAUUUCACACUGAUUCAUGCUAUAUCAAAUCAGACACUUAUUUAAAGAACACAUUGAAAAAUUAUUUUACUUUGCCUAUUAAUUCCUCCCCCGUAUUAUCACACUGAAACUUAGUAAUAAAUCUCACUCUUCUUCCUGACAGAUAUUCCUCUUUAAUGGCGUAUAAGUUACCUGUGGAGGAUGUCCACCCUCUAUCUCAGGCCUUUUUCAAGUUAGAGUGAAACAGACCUUCAACCUGGAGGAAUACAGCCUCUCUCAGGCUACCUUGGAGCAGGUAUUCUUAGAACUCUGUAAAGAGCAGGAGCUGGGAAAUGUUGAUGAUAAAAUUGAUACAACAGUUCAAUGGAAACUUCUCCCACAGGAAGACCCUUAAAAUGAAGAACCUCCUAACAUUCAAUUUUAGGUCCUACUACAUUGUUAGUUUCCAUAAUUCUACAAGAAUGUUUCCUUUUACUUCAGUUAACAAAAGAAAACAUUUAAUAAACAUUCAAUAAUGAUUAAAGUUUUCAUUUUUAAAAAUUUAGGAUGAAGGAAACAAGGAAAUAUAGGGAAAAGUAGUAGACAAAAUUAACAAAAUCAGACAUGUUAUUCAUCCCCAACAUGGGUCUAUUUUGUGCUUAAAAAUAAUUUAAAAAUCAUACAAUAUUAGGUUGGUUUUCGGUUAUUAUCAAUAAAGCUAACACUGAGAACAUUUUACAAAUAAAAAUAUGAGCUUUUUAGCCUGAACUUCAAAUGUAUCAGCUAUUUUUAAACAUUAUUUACUCGGAUUCUAAUUUAAUGUGACAUUGACUAUAAGAAGGUCUGAUAAACUGAUGAAAUGGCACAGCAUAACAUUUAAUUAUAGUGACAUUCUGAUUAUAAAAUAAAUGCAUGUGAAUUUUAGUACAUAUUGAAGUUACAUGGAAGAAGAUAGCCAUAAUCUGUAAGAAAGUACCGCAGUUAAUAUUUUCUUUAGCCAACUUAUAUUCAAUGUAUUUUUUAUGGAUCCUUUUUCAAAGGUAGUAUCAGUAGGCAUAGUCA